rnacentral:rRNA from 1 species
GAUCCUGGCUCAGGAUGAACGCUGGCGGNGUGCUUAACACAUGCAAGUCGAACGGGAAACAUUUCAUUGAGGCUUCGGCGGAUUUGGUCUGUUUCUAGUGGCGGACGGGUGAGUAACGCGUGGGUAACCUGCCUUAUACUGGGGGAUAACAGCCAGAAAUGGCUGCUAAUACCGCAUAAGCGCACGGGGCCGCAUGGCCCUGUGUGAAAAACUCCGGUGGUAUAAGAUGGACCCGCGUUGGAUUAG